rnacentral:rRNA from 1 species
AUUGAACGCUGGCGGCAGGCCUAACACAUGCAAGUCGAACGAGUGGCGGACGUGUGAGUAAUGUCUGGGAAACUGCCUGAUGGAGGGGGAUAACUACUGGACACGGUCGCUAAUCCCGCAUACCAUCAGAUGUGCCCAGAUGGGAUUAGCUUGUUGGUGGGGUAACGGCUCACCAAGGCGACGAUCCCUAUCUUGUCGGAGAGGAUGACCAGCAACACUGGAACUGAGACACGGUCCAGACUCCUACGGGAGGCAGCAGUGGGGAAUAUUGCACAAUGGGCGCAAGCCUGAUGCAGCCAUGCCGCGUGUAUGAAGAAGGCCUUCGGGUUGUAAAGUACUGUCAGCGGGGAGGCGUUACCCGCAGAAGAAGCACCGGCUAACUCUGUGCCAGCAGCCGCGGUAAUAC